rnacentral:tRNA from 1 species
GGAAUUGUGGCUCAGUAGUAGAGUGUUUGCCUAUCACGCUUAAGGCACUGGGUUCAAAACUCAGCACCA